GACGAACGCUGGCGGCGUGCUUAACACAUGCAAGUCGAACGGAAAGGCCCUGCUUUUGUGGGGUGCUCGAGUGGCGAACGGGUGAGUAACACGUGAGUAACCUGCCCUUGACUUUGGGAUAACUUCAGGAAACUGGGGCUAAUACCGGAUAGGAGCUCCUGCUGCAUGGUGGGGGUUGGAAAGUUUCGGCGGUUGGGGAUGGACUCGCGGCUUAUCAGCUUGUUGGUGGGGUAAUGGCCUACCAAGGCGGCGACGGGUAGCCGGCCUGAGAGGGUGGACGGCCACAUUGGGACUGAGAUACGGCCCAGACUCCUACGGGAGGCAGCAGUGGGGAAUAUUGCACAAUGGGCGGAAGCCUGAUGCAGCGACGCCGCGUGGGGGAUGACGGCCUUCGGGUUGUAAACUCCUUUCGACCGCGAGGAAGCCACCUGGUUGGAAGGGUGGUGACGGUAGUGGUAGAAGAAGCACCGGCUAACUACGUG
rnacentral:rRNA from 1 species